AAAAACUGAACAAAGUUUGGACAAUCAAUAGUGUAGGGUCUUACAAAUCGCAAGAUUAUGUAAGAAAACAUUAUGCGAAGUCAAUUCGCAAAACAAACAAUUAAUGAGCUUGAAAAGACUCAUCAUUUAAUAUGAGAGUUUGAUCUUGGCUCAGGAUGAACGCUGGCGGCGUGCCUAAUACAUGCAAGUCGAACGAACUUCCGUUAAUUGAUUAUGACGUACUUGUACUGAUUGAGAUUUUAACACGAAGUGAGUGGCGAACGGGUGAGUAACACGUGGGUAACCUGCCCAGAAGUAGGGGAUAACACCUGGAAACAGAUGCUAAUACCGUAUAACAGAGAAAACCGCAUGGUUUUCUUUUAAAAGAUGGCUCUGCUAUCACUUCUGGAUGGACCCGCGGCGUAUUAGCUAGUUGGUGAGGUAAAGGCUCACCAAGGCAGUGAUACGUAGCCGACCUGAGAGGGUAAUCGGCCACAUUGGGACUGAGACACGGCCCAGACUCCUACGGGAGGCAGCAGUAGGGAAUCUUCCACAAUGGACGCAAGUCUGAUGGAGCAACGCCGCGUGAGUGAAGAAGGGUUUCGGCUCGUAAAGCUCUGUUGUUAAAGAAGAACGUGGGUAAGAGUAACUGUUUACCCAGUGACGGUAUUUAACCAGAAAGCCACGGCUAACUACGUGCCAGCAGCCGCGGUAAUACGUAGGUGGCAAGCGUUAUCCGGAUUUAUUGGGCGUAAAGCGAGCGCAGGCGGUCUUUUAAGUCUAAUGUGAAAGCCUUCGGCUCAACCGAAGAAGUGCAUUGGAAACUGGGAGACUUGAGUGCAGAAGAGGACAGUGGAACUCCAUGUGUAGCGGUGAAAUGCGUAGAUAUAUGGAAGAACACCAGUGGCGAAGGCGGCUGUCUGGUCUGCAACUGACGCUGAGGCUCGAAAGCAUGGGUAGCGAACAGGAUUAGAUACCCUGGUAGUCCAUGCCGUAAACGAUGAUUACUAAGUGUUGGAGGGUUUCCGCCCUUCAGUGCUGCAGCUAACGCAUUAAGUAAUCCGCCUGGGGAGUACGACCGCAAGGUUGAAACUCAAAAGAAUUGACGGGGGCCCGCACAAGCGGUGGAGCAUGUGGUUUAAUUCGAAGCUACGCGAAGAACCUUACCAGGUCUUGACAUCUUCUGACAGUCUAAGAGAUUAGAGGUUCCCUUCGGGGACAGAAUGACAGGUGGUGCAUGGUUGUCGUCAGCUCGUGUCGUGAGAUGUUGGGUUAAGUCCCGCAACGAGCGCAACCCUUAUUACUAGUUGCCAGCAUUAAGUUGGGCACUCUAGUGAGACUGCCGGUGACAAACCGGAGGAAGGUGGGGACGACGUCAAAUCAUCAUGCCCCUUAUGACCUGGGCUACACACGUGCUACAAUGGAUGGUACAACGAGUCGCGAGACCGCGAGGUUAAGCUAAUCUCUUAAAACCAUUCUCAGUUCGGACUGUAGGCUGCAACUCGCCUACACGAAGUCGGAAUCGCUAGUAAUCGCGGAUCAGCAUGCCGCGGUGAAUACGUUCCCGGGCCUUGUACACACCGCCCGUCACACCAUGAGAGUUUGUAACACCCAAAGCCGGGG
rnacentral:rRNA from 1 species